GAUAUUGUUAACUUGGUGAGAGGAGAAAUGGAUUUAGCAGAUUCAGAUGACAGCAGCAUUGAAUAAUACAUCUCUUUAUGACAAUAAAAAUAUGCCUAUCCUUUAUGAUGUAAACCCAUUGAUUAAGGGCUAAUCAAAUUACAAAUAAUAACAUAAGUUAUGUUUACUUGCUUAAAAGAUCUGGAAAUAUGCAUCUCCCAUGUAUUAAAAGGCCAUUCCAAUUUGACCUUAACUGACUGUUUAAGUUGCUUGACUAUUGAUAGAUCACUCCUCUCAGCAUAUGUUCCUUUUGUGCUUUGCCUUUAAUAGUGGGGUGUUAAUAUUACAGUCCUUUUUUCCUGGGAGAUUCCUAUAGUGCAGUUAUUCUUUUUUAAAAGAUGUAGUCAUAUAUGAAAUAAACUGCAUCCCUUAAAGUUUCUUAUAGUUCUGCUAAAAUGGGCAUUGAAUUUUAGUACAACAGUCAGGUUGCUCCUCUGGUCACAUGUUGGAGUUGUGGAAACAGCCUUUUUGCACAAAAUUAGAGGAGAAGACAACCCUGCCCUAACCCUUGCAAAGCAAGGAGCUUUGUUCAUUGGGGAUCCCUUUUUCAGAAUGAUAUAUUCACAAAAGAAAAAAUUGCAGUG
rnacentral:misc_RNA from 1 species